AGAACGAACGCUGGCGGCAUGCCUAAUACAUGCAAGUCGAACGAACUCUUCGGAGUUAGUGGCGCACGGGUGCGUAACGCGUGGGAAUCCGCCCCUUGGUUCGGAAUAACAGUUGGAAACGACUGCUAAUACCGGAUGAUGACGAAAGUCCAAAGAUUUAUCGCCAAGGGAUGAGCCCGCGUAGGAUUAGCUAGUUGGUGAGGUAAAGCUCACCAAGGCAACGAUCCUUAGCUGGUCUGAGAGGAUGAUCAGCCACACUGGGACUG
rnacentral:rRNA from 1 species